CUCGGGGAUAGCCUUUCGAAAGAAAGAUUAAUACCCGGUGUCAUAGUCCUACCGCAUGAUGGGAUUAUUAAAGAAUUUCGGUAUGGGAUGGGGAUGCGUUCCAUUAGUUAGUUGGCGGGGUAACGGCCCACCAAAACAACGAUGGAUAGGGGUUCUGAGAGGAAGGUCCCCCACAUUGGAACUGAGACACGGUCCAAACUCCUACGGGAGGCAGCAGUGAGGAAUAUUGGUCAAUGGACGAGAGUCUGAACCAGCCAAGUAGCGUGAAGGAUGACUGCCCUACGGGUUGUAAACUUCUUUUAUAUGGGAAUAAAAUGUUCCACGUGUGGGAUUUUGUAUGUACCAUAUGAAUAAGGAUCGGCUAACUCCGUGCCAGCAGCCGCGGUAAUACGGAGGAUCCGAGCGUUAUCCGGAUUUAUUGGGUUUAAAGGGAGCGUAGGUGGAUUGUUAAGUCAGUUGUGAAAGUUUGCGGCUCAACCGUAAAAUUGCAGUUGAAACUGGCAGUCUUGAGUACAGUAGAGGUGGGCGGAAUUCGUGGUGUAGCGGUGAAAUGCUUAGAUAUCACGAAGAACUCCGAUUGCGAAGGCAGCUCACUGGACUGCAACUGACACUGAGGCUCGAAAGUGUGGGUAUCAAACAGGAUUAGAUACCCUGGUAGUCCACACAGUAAACGAUGAAGACUCGCUGUUUGCGAUAUACUGCAAGCGGCCAAG
rnacentral:rRNA from 1 species